rnacentral:rRNA from 1 species
UUUGCUUUAAGUCGGGCGAUUUAACCGGCAACUACUCUAAAAUACAAUCCAGCACUUUCCGUGUUCGAGAUGUAAUUUGAAGAAGGUAACUUUGGUUUUGGCUCUUGUCUAUGUUCCUUGGAACAGGACGUCACAGAGGGUGAGAAUCCCGUGCGAUGAGAUGCCCAAUUCCAUGUAAAGUGCUUUCGAAGAGUCGAGUUGUUUGGGAAUGCAGCUCUAAGUGGGUGGUAAAUUCCAUCUAAAGCUAAAUAUUGGCGAGAGACCGAUAGCGAACAAGUACAGUGAUGGAAAGAUGAAAAGAACUUUGAAAAGAGAGUGAAAAAGUACGUGAAAUUGUUGAAAGGGAAGGGCUUGAGAUCAGACUUGGUAUUUUGCGUUCCCUUCCUUUUUGGUUGGGUUCCUCGCAGUUUACUGGGCCAGCAUCGGUUUGGAUGGUAGGAUAAUGACAUUGGAAUGUAGCUUUACUUCGGUGAAGUGUUAUAGACUUUGUUGAUACUGCCUAUCUAGACCGAGGACUGCGUCUUGACUAGGAUGCUGCGAAACAGCAAUG